ACCUGAGUGGCUCAGUCGGUUGAGCGUCUGACUUCAACUCAGGUCAUGAUCUCACGGUUCGAGAGUUUGUGCCUCACUUCGGGCU
rnacentral:tRNA from 1 species